AGACACCAAAGGGAGGUUGUAUUCACCAACUUUGAAAAGCCGGCUCUCACCUUGUCUUCCAUCACUAAAUUGAGACCGAGAAAUGAGCAGCGAGAGAAUGAAUUGAUUAUUUCUUUUCUGAGAUGUUUAUAUGAAGAGAAACAGAAAGAACACAUCCAUAUUGGGGAGAUGAAGCAGACAUCGCAGAUGGCAGCAGAGAAUAUUGGAAGUGAAUUACCACCCAGUGCCACUCGAUUUAGGCUAGAUAUGCUGAAAAACAAAGCAAAGAGAUCUUUAACAGAGUCUUUAGAAAGUAUUUUGUCCCGGGGUAAUAAAGCCAGAGGCCUGCAGGAACACUCCACCAGUGUGGAUCUGGAUAGCUCCCUGUCUAGUACAUUAAGUAACACCAGCAAAGAGCCAUCUGUGUGUGAAAAGGAGGCCUUGCCCAUCUCUGAGAGCUCCUUUAAGCUCCUCGGCUCCUCGGAGGACCUGUCCAGUGACUCGGAGAGUCAUCUCCCAGAAGAGCCAGCUCCGCUGUCGCCCCAGCAGGCCUUUAGGAGGCGAGCAAACACCCUGAGUCACUUCCCCAUGGAAUGCCAGG
rnacentral:sRNA from 1 species